AUUGAACGCUGGCGGAAUGCUUUACACAUGCAAGUCGAGCGGCAGCGCGGGGGCAACCCUGGCGGCGAGCGGCGAACGGGUGAGUAACAUAUCGGAACGUACCCUGUCGUGGGGGAUAACUAUCCGAAAGGAUAGCUAAUACCGCAUACGACCUGAGGGUGAAAGCGGGGGACCGCAAGGCCUCGCGCGAUAGGAGCGGCCGAUAUCAGAUUAGCUAGUUGGUGAGGUAAAGGCUCACCAAGGCGACGAUCUGUAGCGGGUCUGAGAGGAUGAUCCGCCACACUGGAACUGAGACACGGUCCAGACUCCUACGGGAGGCAGCAGUGGGGAAUUUUGGACAAUGGGCGCAAGCUUGAUCCAGCCAUGCCGCGUGAGUGAAGAAGGCC
rnacentral:rRNA from 1 species